CCUACGGGUGGCAGCAGUGGGGAAUAUUGGGCAAUGGGCGCAAGCCUGACCCAGCAACGCCGCGUGAAUGAAGAAGGCUUUCGGGUUGUAAACUUCUUUUCUCAGGGACGAAGCAGGUGACGGUACCUGAGGAAUAAGCCACGGCUAACUGCGUGCCAGCAGCCGGGGUAAUACGUAGGUGGCAAGCGUUAUCCGGGUUUACUGGGGGUAAAGGGCGGGUAGGCGGGGACGCAAGUCAGAUGUGAAAACCACGGGCUCAACCUGUGGCCUGCAUUUGAAACUGUGUUUCUUGAGUCCUGUAGAGGCAGACGGAAUUCCUAGUGUAGCGGUGAAAUGCGUAGAUAUUAGGAGGAACACCAGUGGCGAAGGCGGUCCGCUGGACAGCAACUGACGCUGAGGCGCGAAAGCGUGGGGAGCAAACAGGAUUAGAUACCCUAGUAGUC
rnacentral:rRNA from 1 species